rnacentral:rRNA from 1 species
AUUGAACGCUGGCGGCAGGCCUAACACAUGCAAGUCGAGCGGAUGAAGGGAGCUUGCUCCUGGAUUCAGCGGCGGACGGGUGAGUAAUGCCUAGGAAUCUGCCUGGUAGUGGGGGAUAACGUCCGGAAACGGGCGCUAUACCGCAUACGUCCUGAGGGAGAAAGUGGGGGAUCUUCGGACCUCACGCUAUCAGAUGAGCCUAGGUCGGAUUAGCUAGUUGGUGGGGUAAAGGCCUACCAAGGCGACGAUCCGUAACUGGUCUGAGAGGAUGAUCAGUCACACUGGAACUGAGACACGGUCCAGACUCCUACGGGAGGCAGCAGUGGGGAAUAUUGGACAAUGGGCGAAAGCCUGAUCCAGCCAUGCCGCGUGUGUGAAGAAGGUCUUCGGAUUGUAAAGCACUUUAAGUUGGGAGGAAGGGCAGUAAGUUAAUACCUUGCUGUUUUGACGUUACCAACAGAAUAAGCACCGGCUAACUUCGU